CCUACGGGAGGCUGCAGUGAGGAAUAUUGGUCAAUGGACGAGAGUCUGAACCAGCCAAGUAGCGUGAAGGAUGACUGCCCUAUGGGUUGUAAACUUCUUUUAUAAAGGAAUAAAACGAGGCACGUGUGCCUUUUUGCAUGUACUUUAUGAAUAAGGAUCGGCUAACUCCGUGCCAGCAGCCGCGGUAAUACGGAGGAUCCGAGCGUUAUCCGGAUUUAUUGGGUUUAAAGGGAGCGUAGAUGGGUUGUUAAGUCAGUUGUGAAAGUUUGCGGCUCAACCGUAAAAUUGCAAUUGAUACUGGCAGUCUUGAGUACAGUUGAGGUAGGCGGAAUUCGUGGUGUAGCGGUGAAAGGCUUAGAUAUCACGAAGAACCCCGAUGGCGAAGGCAGCUUACUAAACUGUGACUGACAUUGAGGCUCGAAAGUGUGGGUAUCAAACAGGAUUAGAUACCCGAGUAGUC
rnacentral:rRNA from 1 species